UAUAUAUAUAUAUAUAUAUAUAUAUAUAUAUAUGAUUUAUCCUUUACUGCUACCAACUAUCAAUUCUGCCUUCACUUGAAAAUGAUUGAACUUUCUGUCUUUCCCUUUCGCACAUAAAAUGACAUCUGGAGCCUUACAAGCAAAGUUGUGAUUAUUUCAACUAGAAGAAUAAAUCAGCAUAUAUAUUUCAAAUAAUUGUAAACUAGAGUCUUAAAAAAUU
rnacentral:lncRNA from 1 species